UUUGGUGACAAUAACGAUGAGGAUACACCUGUACCCAUACCGAACACAGAAGUUAAGCUCAUUCGUGCCGAAGAUACUUGCGAGUUACCUUGCUGGGAAAAUAGGUCGUUGCCAAUU
rnacentral:rRNA from 1 species